AGAAGAGAGUGCUGAGGUCAUCAGGGAAGUAUGUCACAAAAGCGUAGACUCUGGAGUGCUGCAAGAAUCAGGUACGGUAGCACAGUGAACCUAACAAAGGUCUUCAAAG